rnacentral:lncRNA from 1 species
UUUGAGCGGGAUUAUUUUUAUUUUUAGAGCGCCAUAUAUUAUCCACAAUUAACUCACAUAACCAGCCUCUCCACUAAUUAGGGUUUUGAUUGAAUAUUAAAACAAGAAACAUAAUACUACGUACCCUUAUACAUCAUUCUAUCAACCUCUGAAUCGAAGAACUGGAGCUUCUGCAGAAGUUGCUGCUGCUGGAUUGAGGUUCUGUUUGUGCUUCUGUUUGACAGAUGAUGAUAGGGUUAUGCAUCUUAAACUGGUUGCGAUUGUAAAAGAAUGGCACCUGUUAAUCAUCCAGAGGUAGAAAGAAAUAUUCCAAAAAGUUCUCUGCUUUGCAUCAUCAUCACCAAAAUCUUUGUGAUUUAAUCUUUGGGGUUCUUGUUCUUCAUCAUUAUCAUCGUAUUAUUAUUAUUAUUAUUGUUAAAUGUUAAUAUCGAUCUGGGUCACCGACUGCUUUGUGGGUUCUCUAUUUCAUUGAUGAGAAGAAUAUCCAUUGGGGUUUAUUGGGAUUCACCAUUCAGCAAGAAGUCGUAGAACAACGGCAGAGAGAGGUGGGUGGGGAGGAGAGAGAAGCGGCGGAGAGAAGGGGUAGAGAAGGUAGAGGAGAGAGAGGAAACCAUAGUGGUGGUUAUAGUGGAAGUGGAUGAAGGAGAUGGGUAGAUAAGGAGUGUGUUUAUUUAUAUAUAUUUUUAUUUUAAUUAAUUUAGUUUUAGUGUAAAAUUACCAACUUACCCUCAUGUGCAAGGCACAUGUCAUACUUAACUGAAAAUUUUGACAAGGUUAGUGUUAAAGGACGUAAGGUGUAAUGUGUUUUACAAAUAAAGGAUUGUGACUGUAAUUAUUA